rnacentral:rRNA from 1 species
AUUGAACGCUGGCGGCAGGCCUAACACAUGCAAGUCGAACGAGUGGCGGACGGGUGAGUAAUGUCUGGGAAACUGCCUGAUGGAGGGGGAUAACUACUGGAAACGGUAGCUAAUACCGCAUACCAUCGGAUGUGCCCAGAUGGGAUUAGCUAGUAGGUGGGGUAAAGGCUCACCUAGGCGACGAUCCCUCGCGGGUCUGAGAGGAUGACCAGCCACACGUGAACUGAGACACGGUCCAGACUCCUACGGGAGGCAGCAGUGGGGAAUAUUGACAAAGGGGCGCAAGCCUGAUGCAGCCAUGCCGCGUGUAUGAAGAAGGCCUUGGGGUUGUAAAGUACUUGCAGCGGGGAGGCGUUACCCGCAGAAGAAGCACCGGCUAACUCCGUGCCAGCCGCCGCGGUAAUUC